rnacentral:ncRNA from 1 species
ACCUUCCUUUUCUUGGGGUUGCACUACUGUCCAAUGAACACAUAGUGAGGGCAGCACUGCUAACGCCUGAAAAAAAAAGUGGGGGGCAGGGCAAAAUGCAACGAGACUCAAAACAUUUGUUACUCUUUGACACU